rnacentral:rRNA from 1 species
AGCGAACGCUAGCGGCAGGCUUAACACAUGCAAGUCGAGCGGGCCCUUCGGGUUCAGCGGCGGACGGGUGAGUAACGCGUCGGAACUUGCCCUCUCGUUUGCAACAACCCAGGUAAACUUGAGCUAAUACCGGAUACGCCCUCUUAUGGUAGGGAUUCCUGCCGGUGGAUCGGCCCGCGUCUGAUUAGCUAUUCGGUGAGGUAACGGCAUACCAACGAGACGCUCAGUAGCUGGUCUGCGACGAGGCUCAGCCACACUGGGACUGAGAAACGGCGCAGACUCCUACGGGAGGCAGCAGUGGGGAGUAUUGGACAAUGAGCGCGAGUCUGAUCCAGCCGUGCCGCGUGAGUGAUGAAGGCCUUAGGGUUGUAAAGCUCUUUUAUCCGGGACGAUAAUGACGGUACCGGAGGAAUAAGCCCCGGCUAACUUCGUG